UAUCAACUACAGUCACUGCACUUUGCGGCUUUUCUUGGCUAAGACUGUUAAUAAUCAAUUUUAUAAUUAGUCAUAUAAUCAACGAGUCUGCUCUGCUUGUUUUUUGUUAAAAGUUUCUCGGAUUAUUAUAGUGAGUGGUGCUUUUUGUGUGUAUCCUUUUGGAUAAAGAAAGACAGCGGAAAGACAGAGAGAGAGAGAGAGAGCAGCAUUGGAAAGGCAUGCAUUUUGGCUACAGAAUGACAGAGACAUGGAAACCAAAAACAAGGCAUACGAAGGGCAGUUGAAAGUCUAACCAGGACAGAAAGGCAUGAAUUUCGGCUACAGAGGCAUGAAGUUCAAAACAAGAUAACAGAAUGACAGAGACACGAAGAAAGAAGGCAUACGAAGGGUAAGUUGCUAGAUUUUUCUGCAUUUCAGAUCGCGUCGUUUGUACCGAUUCAAUACACAGUUAAAUAUGCUGGCUUGAUAAGGUACCCGUGUCGUGUAGGGGUCUAUCUUAAACGAUUACCUAAGGGUAAUCAUUGGAUUUUUCCUUGCCAACGAAAAAAGGUUUCAGCCACACGCGAAAAACUUAAAUCCGCCCGUGAACGCGAAAGGCCUUCGGGCUAUCGAAACGAUAAAAAUGGCUGUCUUGUGGUUAGGGCAAAUUCAAAAUAUAAUUGUUCGGUACCAUACUCUUAGCGCAAUUCAAACAUCUCGACGGCAGUGUUUCAAACUAAACAGAUCCGUUGCG